CCUACGGGGUGCAGCAGUCGGGAAUAUUGCGCAAUGGAGGAAACUCUGACGCAGUGACGCCGCGUGCAGGAAGAAGGUUUUCGGAUUGUAAACUGCUUUAGACAGGGAAGAAAAAAGACAGUACCUGUAGAAUAAGCUCCGGCUAACUACGUGCCAGCAGCCGCGGUAAUACGUAGGGAGCAAGCGUUAUCCGGAUUUAUUGGGUGUAAAGGGUGCGUAGACGGAGAAGCAAGUUAGUUGUGAAAUCCCUCGGCUUAACUGAGGAACUGCAACUAAAACUACUUCCCUUGAGUACUGGAGAGGAAAGUGGAAAUCCUAGGGGUGCCGUGAAAUGCGUAGAUAAUAGGAGGAACACCAGUGGCGAAGGCGACUUUCUGGACAGUAAACGACGGUGAGGCACCAAAGUGUGGGGAGCAAACAGGAUUAGAUACCCGGGUAGUC
rnacentral:rRNA from 1 species